rnacentral:rRNA from 1 species
UACGUAGGGGCCAAGCGUUGUCCGGAUUUAUUGGGCGUAAAGAGCUCGUAGGCGGUUGGGUAAGUCGGGUGUGAAAACUCCAAGCUCAACUUGGAGAUGCCACCCGAUACUGCUCUGACUUGAGUUCGGUAGGGGAGUGGGGAAUUCCUGGUGUAGCGGUGAAAUGCGCAGAUAUCAGGAGGAACACCGGUGGCGAAGGCGCCACUCUGGGCCGAAACUGACGCUGAGGAGCGAAAGCGUGGGUAGCAAACAGG